rnacentral:rRNA from 1 species
AUUGAACGCUGGCGGCAGGCCUAACACAUGCAAGUCGAACGAUUGGCGGACUGUUGAGUAAUGUCUGGGCCACUGCCCGAUGGCGGUGUAUCACUACUGGACCCGGUAUCUCAUACCUCAUCCCAUCGGAUGUGCCCAGAUGGGAUUAGCUAGUAGGUGGGGUAACGGCUCACCUAGGCGACGAUCCCUAGCUGGUCUGAGAGGAUGACAAGCAAAACGGGAACUGAGACAAGGGACAGAAGCCUAAGGGAGGCAGCAGUGGGGAAUAGGGCAAAAUGGGCGAAAGGCGGAUGCAGCAAUGCCGCGGGUAUGAAGAAGGAAGUCGGGUGGUAAAGGACGGGAAGCGAGGAGGCGUUACUCGCAGAAGAAGAAACGGCUAACUCCGUGCCAGCAGCAGCGGGAAAAC